rnacentral:rRNA from 1 species
GGACUACCAGGGUAUCUAAUCCUGUUUGCUCCCCUAGCUUUCGUCCCUCAGCGUCAGUUGUGAUCCAGCGAGCCGCCUUCGCCUCGGAUGUUCCUACGGAUAUCUACGCAUUUCACCGCUACACCCGUAAUUCCACUCGCCUCUCUCACACUCUAGCAUGGCAGUUUCGGAAGCAGCCUCUGGGUUAAGCCCAGAGAUUUCACUCCCGACUUGCCACACCGCCUACGGACCCUUUACGCCCAGUAAUUCCGAGCAACGCUGGCCCCCUACGUAUUACCGCGGCUGCUGGCAC